UACAGAGGUCUCGAGCGUUGUUCGGAUUCAUUGGGCGUAAAGAGCUCGUAGGUGGUUCGGUAAGUCGGAUGUGAAAUCUCCAGGCUCAACCUGGAGGGGUCAUUCGAUACUGCCGUGACUAGAGUUCGGUAGGGGAGUGUGGAAUUCCUGGUGGAGCGGUGAAAUGCGCAGAUAUCAGGAGGAACACCAAUGGCGAAGGCAGAUCUCUGGGCCGUAACUGACGCUGAGGAGCGGAAAGCAUGGGGGAGCGAAACAGG
rnacentral:rRNA from 1 species